CGGCGCGUAGCGCAGCCUGGUAGCGCGCUUGGUUCGGGACCAAGAAGUCGCUGGUUCAAAUCCAGUCGCGCCGA
rnacentral:tRNA from 1 species